rnacentral:rRNA from 1 species
UAGGGAAUCUUCCACAAUGGACGAAAGUCUGAUGGAGCAACGCCGCGUGAGUGAAGAAGGGUUUCGGCUCGUAAAACUCUGUUGUUAAAGAAGAACAUAUCUGAGAGUAACUGUUCAGGUAUUGACGGUAUUUAACCGGAAANCCACGGCUAACUACGUGCCGG